UACGUAGGUCCCGAGCGUUGUCCGGAUUUAUUGGGCGUAAAGCGAGCGCAGGUGGUUUAUUAAGUCUGGUGUAAAAGGCAGUGGCUCAACCAUUGUAUGCAUUGGAAACUGGUGGACUUGAGUGCAGGAGAGGAGAGUGGAAUUCCAUGUGUAGCGGUGAAAUGCGUAGUUAUAUGGAGGAACACCGGUGGCGAAAGCGGCUCUCUGGCCUGUAACUGACACUGAGGCUCGAAAGCGUGGGGAGCAAACAGG
rnacentral:rRNA from 1 species